rnacentral:lncRNA from 1 species
UUUGUGAUGCUCUGGAGUUGCACCAUGGUCGACAGGUAAAUUUUUUUUUCAAAAUCUAUUCGAAUUGAAAAUCUAAAAUAGUUACAAAAUCUAUUAUAAAAAUGUGUUUCGUAAAUUUUGUAGCCAAUAACAGGUUUACAUGUCUCUUUGUGCUGUUCUGAAGUUCCACCAUGGUUGACACUUGACAGGUAAAAAAUUUUUUAAAAAAAUACACUAUUGAAAAUUGAAAAUUUAAAAAUAAUUAUAAAUUAUAUUAUAAAAACGUGUUUUUGAAAAUUUUGUAGUCAAUAACAGGUUUACAUGUUUCUACAUGGUUGUUUUAGAUCCCUUAUGCCUAUUCUGUUUUAGUUCUUAAAAUGUUUGUGUUUAACUCAAUAACAUAAUAACAAACAAUAAUAUGUUUGAAGCAUUGUUGUUGUCUCGCCGAGAUAAAGCACAAGUGGUGUAGAUUUAAUGAACUUCGCAAGCAUGAAAGCUCCUUUGCUAUAUCAAGCCAUAGUUAACAUUUUGUUAUUUGCCCUUUAUUCUUUGAAAAGUUAAUUCUAUUUUUUUGGGUUUUUUUUUGGCUUCAAUUUAAAAGGUGCGAAAAAACUCUAUUAAUAAAUAUAAAAUUACAUAUCUUUUGAGCGAGGAAACACAUAUAAUUUAUUUGGAUUAUUAUUCUUGAUUUAUUUUUUUCCUUUUGGAAUAUGUUUUCAUUUAAUUUCUACUAAUAGUUUUUACCUAAAUAAUUUUCUUUUGCAGUUUAUUUUCCAAGAAUGCUAUUUAAUUUUUUAUAAACCUUUUUUGCUAAUAUUUAUCAAAUUUUUUUUAAAACUACUAUGAUAUGAAUAAUCAGUAAAUAAAUACUAAUAUCAGCCAAAUAAAAAAUAAUGAGUAUUAUAUAAAGUUGGAUAUGAAUUCAUGGGUGAUCUGACAUUUCUUUGGCUAAAAUUACAUUUAUCUUCUUUUUUUCUUUAUUUUUAUGUGUUAAUGUGACGAUGAAUGACACAAUUAUUAGUACCCCACUUUAAAUUUUCCUUAUUGCACAUUUUAUGUGUUGCUUUUUGGUCCAUUUCUCUCAAUAGACUUUUGCCCGUUAUUUAAUUACAAUUAAUACAUUGAAUAUUGAUUCCAUUAUAACUCCUAAAUGUACAUAUUUAUUUAAUUAUUUCUGUAAUUAUUUAAUAUUUGUAACUCAUUUAUUGUGAUUGAGUCUUUUUAUCUUCAUUUUGCUUAUCUGCAUUUUUAUCAUAUUUUGAUGGAGAUAUUUAAUUGUUUAGCCUUAGAAAAAGAUGAUAAGACUUCUUCAAGUGAAGAAUGAAGACAAAAGUUAUAACUAGCUAAAAAAUUGGAAAUGAUGUCAAUAACGGGUGAAUAGGUAAUCUAGAAUACGUUUUUGAUGCCCGUGGAAGACUUUAUGUAUUUGUAAUUUCUUUGGACAAAAACAUUGUUACUUCAAUGUAAUUAAUUCUAUUUAUCCUAUUUUUAAUUAUUGUUUUGGUGAUUUAUUAAUAUGUUAUUUUGACUAAUAAUAAUA